AAUCUUAUAAUUUAUAAAAAAUAUUAAAUUGCAAAUUUAACAAAAGUUAAAAAACUUAAGAUUU
rnacentral:tRNA from 1 species